rnacentral:rRNA from 1 species
UGCGACACAACCAAGUAUAGGAGGUCCAGCCUGCCCAGUGACUACAAGUUCAACGGCCGCGGUAUUUUGACCGUGCAAAGGUAGCGCAAUCACUUGUCUUUUAAAUAGAGACCUGUAUGAAUGGCUAAACGAGGGCUUAACUGUCUCCCCUUUCCAGUCAGUGAAAUUGAUCUACCCGUGCAGAAGCGGGUAUAAUAAUACAAGACGAGAAGACCCUUUGGAGCUUAAGGUACAAAACUCAACCACGUUAAGCAACUCAAUAAAAAGUGAAAACUUUGUGGAACAUGAGAUUUUACCUUCGGUUGGGGCGACCACGGAGGAAAAAAGAGCCUCCAGGUGGAACGGGAGAAUUUCCUAAAACUAAGAGAGACAUCUCUAAGCCACAGAACAUCUGACCAAAUAUGAUCCGGCUAAUACAAGCCGAUCAACGAACCAAGUUACCCUAGGGAUAACAGCGCAAUCCUCUCCCAGAGUCCAUAUCGACGAGGGGGUUUACGACCUCGAUGUUGGAUCAGGACAUCCUAAUGGUGCAGCCGCUAUUAAGGGUUCGUUUGUUCAACGAUUAAAGUCCUACGUGAUCUGAGUUCAGACCGG